CCUACGGGGUGCAGCAGUGGGGAAUCUUGCGCAAUGGGCGAAAGCCUGACGCAGCGACGCCGCGUGAGUGAUGAAGGCCUUCGGGUUGUAAAGCUCUGUGGGGAGAGACGAAUAAGUGCGGGCUAAUACUCCGCAUGAUGACGGUAUCUCCUUAGCAAGCACCGGCUAACUCUGUGCCAGCAGCCGCGGUAAGACAGAGGGUGCAAACGUGGUUCGGAAUUGCGGGGCGUAAAGCAUGUGUGGGCGACGAGAAAGCCCUGGGCUCAACCCAGGAAGUGCACUCGAUACUGCAUGGCUUGAGUACCGGAGAGGUUGGUGGAAUUCUCGGUGUAGAGGUGAAAUUCGUAGAUAUCGAGAGGAACACCGGUGGCGAAGGCGGCCAACUGGACGGAUACUGACGCUGAGACACGAAAGCGUGGGGAGCAAACAGGAUUAGAUACCCCAGUAGUC
rnacentral:rRNA from 1 species